CCGUGCUCCUCCAUCUGCGCGUUCUCCAACUUCUGCUCCUUCACCCUCUCCGCUGCUGCGCAUAUGGACGCCAUGUCGCCAUGGUCGCGACUCUCGAGCUCGAAGCCAAGCUUGUCACCAUUGUUCUCGGCUGCCCUCACCACCGCUACCAGCACCACCAACGCCCCUAGGCCGGCCGGCCCCAUCUUCUUCUCUUCCGGACGUGUGCUCGCAUGAGCUUUUGCCGCUGGAGACCACCGGCCAUCGCCGUCUUCGUGACGCCCUCACCGCCGCCCGCCGCCUCUGUUCCGUCGCGUGCAUGGUUCCCGUUCCCACCGUUGGUCGAGCCGCGGUAGGCCCGGUGAAUCCUGCUGGCCUGCACUCCUCGCCGCUGCCAGGCGCUCUAGAUUGACGGAUGCUUGAUUGAUGGAACUUUUUUGUAAUUGCAGUGUGAUUUGCGCAAUAUGCCAGCUGUUUCACACAGCUUGAGAAGGAUGAAAAGUAUCAGUUGGUUUAUGAGCUUCUAAAGAUAUUCCUUACUAAGAGGCUUGAUUCCUACUUAGAGUUUCAGAGUGCAAACUCUGCCUUGCUGAAAGAUAUGCAUAACCAAAAUGCGCCUCAUGUCUUUGCUCGAUCUGAGCAGCUGUUGCUCUGGUGAAAUCCCUUAGGGCUCGUUCGUUUGCCGUGUAUUGAGCCCCUGGAAUGAUUCCAGCUGGAAUUGCUUCAGUAAUUUGUAUAGUUUUCAUAAUCUGGUAUUGUUCCUGGGUCAAAUCCAAGGUAACCGAACGUAGCCUUAUUCUGCAAGAUCAACGAUGACAAGGUGGAGCAAUGGAUUGUGAAGGCAAUUGCAUCCAAGAUAUUGGAUUGCAAGGUUGAGCAGCUUAACCAGACUGUCAUUGUCAGUCGGCACACAGAGAGGAUCUUGUUGGGAUGCAACAGUGGCAUGGUCUGCGCACAAAGCUUGGAGUUUGGAGGGAAGUCGGCACACAGAGAGGAUCUUGUUGGGAUGCAACAGUGGCAUGGUCUGCGCACAAAGCUUGGAGUUUGGAGGGGAUACAUUCCCAGUGCUAUCAACACAAAUACAAGCUAACAAAGUCACUGAAGAGGGGACACAAGGGAUGCAAGGCUUGAUGAUCCGCUGAUUCGAGGCGGAACUGUACCAGAAUCUUUUUGUAUGAGACAGUGUAAUGAUUUACUUAGAUACUGUGACCAUGCUGGAGAGAUCCGAAGCAUGCUAAGCAAUGUGUUCCUUGUAUUUGGUCAGGCAGCCGUGCAGUGCAAGUCAGUUGUUACAAAUACCUAGAAAUACCAAGUUUUUCCACAUGAUGCACAGUCUGCCCUGAUAAAUUUCUUUUCACUGAUAUUUUUUGUCCUUUCCAAAUUUUGAUCAUUCAUACGUGUUCGAUCAGACCAUCUUGUGGUAUCCUUAUUAUUUUAUUAUUUCUUCA